UCGGAACUUGGCGGGCGACGCAGGGCGUCUUUGCGGACGGAUCUGUAUCGGCCGCCUUUGUGGAGGGGGGCUUAGCGGUGCUUUAUUGCCUUGCUAAGUCGCUGCCACCGUUUACUGUGAAAAAAUUGGAGUGUUCAAAGCAGGCGUUUGCCUUGUACACAUUAGCAUGGAAUAAUAGAAUAGGACCUGGUUCUGUUUUGUUGGUUUGUGAGAAUUAGGUAAUGAUUAAGAGGGACGGUUGGGGGCAUUUGUAUUCUGCCGUCAGAGGUGAAAUUCUUAGAUUGGCGGAAGACAAACAGCUGCGAAAGCGUCUGCCAAGGACGUUUUCAUUGAUCAAGAACGAAAGUAAGGGGAUCGAAGACGAUCAGAUACCGUCGUAGUCUUUACUAUAAACGAUGAGGACUGGGGAUCGGGCGGCGCUGCUUUAUGGCCCGCCCGGCACCCUUCGGGAAACNCAAAGNGUUUGCUUUCUGGGGGGAGUAUGGUCGCAAGGCCUGAAACUAAAGGAA
rnacentral:rRNA from 1 species